AACGAACGCUGGCGGCAUGCCUUACACAUGCAAGUCGAACGGCAGCACGGGGGCAACCCUGGUGGCGAGUGGCGAACGGGUGAGUAAUGCAUCGGAACGUGCCCAGUAGUGGGGGAUAACCCGGCGAAAGCCGGGCUAAUACCGCAUACGACCUAAGGGUGAAAGCGGGGGACCGUAAGGCCUCGCGCUAUUGGAGCGGCCGAUGUCUGAUUAGCUAGUUGGCGGGGUAAAAGCCCACCAAGGCGACGAUCAGUAGCUGGUCUGAGAGGACGACCAGCCACACUGGAACGGAGACACGGCCCGGAAUCCUACGGGAGGCAGCAGUGGGGGAUUUUGGACAGUGGGCGCAAGCCUGACUCAGCCAUGCCGCGUGCGGGAAGAAGGCCUUCGGGUUGUAAACCGCUUUUGGCAGGAACGAAACGGCGCGAGCCAAUACCUCGCGCUAAUGACGGUACCUGCAGAAUAAGCACCGGCUAACUACGUGCCAGCAGCCGCUGUAAUAC
rnacentral:rRNA from 1 species